rnacentral:rRNA from 1 species
GGCAUGCACACCUCUCAGCUUGUCUGGUAAACCCGUCAGGCUGACCUUCAUCCUGCUGUCGGCCUGGUAAGAUGUCCGGCGUUUAAUCCAAUUGAACCGUAGCCUCCACCCAUUGUGUGCUCUCCCGCCAAUUCCCUUAAGUUUCAGUCUUGCGACCGUACUCCCCAGGCGGCCCGUUUAACAUCUACACUCCGGCACCGCAAGACCACGUAAGUCAUGCGACACCAAACGGGCAUAGUUUACAGCUGGGACUACUGGGGUAUCUAAUCCCAAUCGCUCCCCCAGCUUUCGUCCCUCGCCGUCGGACGCGUUCCAGUGGGACGCCUUCGCCACAGGUGGUCCUCGGCGGACUAAAGGAUUUAACCCCUACACGCCGAAUACCUCCCACUUUUCCCGCUCCCAAGCCUUGUAGUAUCCCCAGCACGCCCGACAGUUAGCUGCCGGAUCUCACCAGGGACUUGCAGGGCCGGCUACGGACGCUCUAGGCCCAAUAAUCGAGACGGCCACUCGGGGCUCGGGUAUUACCGCGGCGGCUGGCACCCGUAUUACCCGCCCCUUAUUCGCCAUGCUUUCU